CAGCACCUCAAGUGGUCAGGAUGAUUAUUGGGCCUAAAGCAUCCGUAGCCGGCGCUGUAAGUUUUCGGUUAAAUCUGUACGCUCAACGUACAGGCUGCCGGGAAUACUGCAGCGCUAGGGAGUGGGAGAGGUAGACGGUACUCAGUAGGAAGGGGUAAAAUCCUUUGAUCUAUUGAUGACCACCUGUGGCGAAGGCGGUCUACCAGAACACGUCCGACGGUGAGGGAUGAAAGCUGGGGGAGCAAACCGGAUUAGAUACCCGAGUAGUCC
rnacentral:rRNA from 1 species